GGGGAAUUUUGGACAAUGGGCGCAAGCCUGAUCCAGCCAUGCCGCGUGUCUGAAGAAGGCCUUCGGGUUGUAAAGGACUUUUGUCAGGGAAGAAAAGGCUGUUGCUAAUACCGACAGCUGAUGACGGUACCUGAAGAAUAAGCACCGGCUAACUACGUGCCAGCAGCCGCGGUAAUACGUAGGGUGCGAGCGUUAAUCGGAAUUACUGGGCGUAAAGCGAGCGCAGACGGUUACUUAAGCAGGAUGUGAAAUCCCCGGGCUCAACCUGGGAACUGCGUUCUGAACUGGGUGACUAGAGUGUGUCAGAGGGAGGUAGAAUUCCACGUGUAGCAGUGAAAUGCGUAGAGAUGUGGAGGAAUACCGAUGGCGAAGGCAGCCUCCUGGGAUAACACUGACGUUCAUGCUCGAAAGCGUGGGUAGCAAACAGGAUUAGACACCCUGGUAGUCCACGCCCUAAACGAUGUCAAUUAGCUGUUGGGCAACUUGAUUGCUUAGUAGCGUAGCUAACGCGUGAAAUUGACCGCCUGGGGAGUACGGUCGCAAGAUUA
rnacentral:rRNA from 1 species